GAUAGACCAAUACGAAAUGGCUCCUUUGAUUUCGAUCCCCAAACUUCAACAGGGCCAAAUGCUUGCAUAUAAGUAUGGCGAUAUUCAUACGUACAAAUUACAAAACCAACAAGAAAUUGAAACUCAAGUUCAUCCAAAAAAGAAAAUGGAAAUUACAAGUUCAUCUUCUUGACAAAUACAUGGAGCAACUUUCCCGAUGUGAACUUCAGCUGGUCUCUUUCGCCGCCGGCAUCAAAGUGCCCGCCGUCGACCUCCACCUCCGCGAUGAUGAUUUCCUCCGUGAGGCCCAUCGCUUGUUGCUUUGUAGUUAAUUAUGCAAUGUUAAUAUCAAUUUUCAGGGAGUUCGCCGGAAAACUUAAAUCACGGUAAAUUAGGCGAUAGAAGAGAUGUACGGUGAACUUACUACUUCCAUGCUGCAACUUUGUGGUGAACGAUUCCGGCCGCAGGUAUCUGGAAGACGAAGCCAUUGCGGCCACUGGCGCCGGAGCACCGAAUAUGAGAAAUAGGAGCAUGAUCAUCAUCGCCAUUCCUGCUACAACACAGUUGUUAGAGGCCAUUUUUGUUUCUUAGUUAGUUUACUUUUUUCUCACUAAUUAUCAUGCAUGUGUCACAAUAUAUAGAGAUUUUAUUAAGCAGGGUUUUAGACCAAACCGACUAUCGAACCGGUUUGGGUACGUAGGCCAAAAUAUUGCGAUCGGAUUAAAGGAAGAACUCGUGCCCGCCCUACUAUCGCUGGUGAUGUUAAAAUUGCCAAGGAUUAAUCAUAAUACUAUGUUGCUUGUUGCGGAACGAAUUGUACCUGUUGAAAUGUAUGGUAAAACGAUUUGAUUCCCACAGAAUUGUGUAUGAAUCAAGUCAACAAAACGCAAUUCAUGUAACGAUGGCUCAACAUACAGAAAGUAAGCCAAUUUGAAAAUUUUCAACACUAACAUAACACCAAGUCAAAUUAAUUUAUAACUUCAUUUGACUAUUAUUUAUAAAAGUUAUUAUAAUAAAAUUUGAUUUUUUAGUCAUUUCUAACAUGUAUAUCAAAUAUUAGCCAACUUAAAGAUUUUAAAUUUUUUUUGUGAAAAUGAUUAAUUUCAUAGAUUAACCCUUUUGAAAAUUGAUCAUCUAUCCACGAAAAUUUUCAAAUUUUCAAAUUAACUAUUAAUUUAACAUGCAAAUNNNNNNNNNNNNNNNNNNNNNNNNNNNNNNNNNNNNNNUAAUUAAAAAUUAAUAUCUCACCAUAUUAAAUUAUUUAAAUAAUAGUCCAAUCAAAUUAAAAAAUAUUUUGUAAAAACCCUUGCGUGUCUCAUUUUUCUCCUGUGUGCUUCGUCAAAUCCUUUUGAUUUAGGGUUCCUCCGUUUCUCAUCAAUUCUUUUAAUUUAGGAUUCCUCCGUUUCUUCUAUAGUUUUAUUUGGGAAGCAAGUAUUUUCUUGGGAAGCACAAGACAUCAAGCGAAAAUAUAUUGUUCGUUGGAAUCACGCCACAAAUAUGACCUAAUCCACAUCCAAUGACGGAGUGAGUAAUGAAAGGGGAUUCGACUUAGCUUAUAAAUAAAAAUCUUUCAAAACUUUCAUAUUUUAAUAUUUCAAUUGUUAAUUUUAAUUGAGCAUAUAUUUUUAAUUUUUUAGAAUUUGGUAACCNNNNNNNNNNNNNNNNNNNNNNNNNNNNNNNNNNNNNNNNNNNNNNNNNNNNNNNNNNNNNNNNNNNNNNNNNNNNAUUACAAACAUAACACAAGUAAAUUUGAUUUUUAACUUCAUUAGACCAUUAUUACAGGGUUAUUAUAGUAAAACUUGAUUUUUUAGUCAUAUACAACGUGCAUGUCAAAUAUUAGCUGAUUUAAAAUUUUUAAAAUUUUUGUGUGAAAAUUGUCAAUUUUCUUAAUAUAGCACACGAAUAUUAAGCAAUUUUGACAUAAAAAUUGAAAAUUUUCAAGUUGGUUAAUAGCUAACAUGUAUGUUAGGAAUGAAAAAAAAUUAAGACUUCCUCAUAUUAAAUCUUUCCAUCAUGUUAACCCCUUCAAAUAAUAGAUAAAUAAAAUUAAAAAAUAUUUUUUUGAUUGUUAUUGUUACUUAUUAAUGGGAUGUAUGUAUUUUUUAUUAUAAAAAAUUAACUUAAUUUUUAGUUGUUUUCCACCACAUAUUAUUUGGUACGAAUUUUAAACUUUCUUGGCCAAUUUUCUGACUUCGCUACAGCUCAGAAGUACAUCAGGUGUCUCGGGCCGAUUACAUCUCUAAGUCUAGGUCUGAUCAUGCUGACCAAUCAUUUUCUACUAUGGUACUACCAACUUGGCAAAAUGGGGCCCUAUAGCAUACACUAGUACAAGAAUAUGACGUGAACCGUUGAACGUAGUUGGCCAAAAUAGCUUCUCAAAUCCUCCUUCACCUAUUUUGUUUAUUAUUUUUCUUCCGCCGGAAUCUCAAGGGAGUCGACUAUUGCAGCUUUUUCCCACUAUCUAUCAUUGUCGUAAUAACGACAGCCCAAUGUAUAUUUCAUCCCCUGCCGACCGAAUCAACCAUUUAAUUUCUCUGACUGACCAAGUUAUUAACCAAAUUAAGUGGUUGAUCGACUCGAAUUCGGCCGAAAUUUGAUCAAAUCUUGGUGAUAGAUUAGGAUACACUGCCCAGGUAAUGGCAGUGGAUUUGCAUGACUGCAACUCCAAAUUAAAGCUGAAACUCGUAGAUAUUCAGCCGUUUACUUACCUAUAUCUAUUUCCUAUUAGACAAAAAGUCUUCAAGUCAACGCAUCAAUGGAGAUUUUCAGCCGUUUACUUACCAGAAGAAGAGGGCCGAGUGGGACAGAGAGCCAAAAUUCAACUCUUUCCCCAGUUGCUAUUGCUGACUUUUGUUUCCUUCUCUUCCCAUCCUGCGCUUGAGUGUUUCGUUCAACUCCGCAGGCUUUUCACCCUGCAACUUUAUCAAACGAGCAAUGUCAGCCAAGUUUCUGAAGAACAUGCAUGUAUAUAUAGUUUAACUAUCUUAGCAUAGCAUAGCAUAGCCAGUACCUUUUUUCCUUUCUAUGGCAAGGCCAAACCGAUUGUUUCUCUUCUUCAUCCUUUCACUCCUUCUAUUGUCCUGCUUUCAAUGCAGCUUGGCUUCAAUCACAGAAGUACAAGCUCUGCUGCAAUGGAAACAAGGUCUCAGGAAUGAAUCCAUCCUUCAAUCAUGGAGGACGACGAACAGGAACGACAAUUCCUCAAGCCCUACUCCCUGCAAAUGGCUUGGGAUAGCUUGUGAUGCUGCUUCAGGGAGUGUGACAGAGAUAAACCUUUCCUACCUAAACAUGACAGGUACUUUGCAGAGCCUGAACUUCUCUUCAUUCCCGAAUCUCCUCCGACUCGAUCUUAAAUACAAC
rnacentral:lncRNA from 1 species